AGCAGUCGCCGCGGUAAUACGAGGGGAGCAAGCGUUGUUCGGAAUUAUUGGGCGUAAAGGGUGCGUAGGCGGCUUGACAAGUCUUGUGUGAAAUCUAUGGGCUCAACCCAUAGUCUGCACGGGAAACUGUCGGGCUUGAGAAUGGGAGAGGUGAGUGGAAUUUCCGGUGUAGCGGUGAAAUGCGUAGAUAUCGGAAGGAACACCUGUGGCGAAAGCGGCUCACUGGACAUUUACUGACGCUGAUGCACGAAAGCUAGGGGAGCAAACAGGAUUAGAGACCCCCGUAGUCCCUGUCUCUUAUAC
rnacentral:rRNA from 1 species